UUAGAAUGAUGACAAGAGUAAUACCUUCCUAGUAAAGAUGACUAAAUGAGGUCUCUCUUUGUUGCCUAGAGUGGUCUUGAACUCCUGGAAUCAAGCAAUCCUCCCACCUCAGUCUCCCAAAGUGCUGGGAUUACAGGCAUGAGCCACCAUGCUCAGCUUGAAGAGUUUUUAAGAAAAUAUAAAACUGUCAAAUUAUAUGCAAUAAAAGUCAUAUGAUACUUCAAAAUCUGUGAUUCCAUGAAGCCAAGAGUAGCUCUUCAACAGGAAAUGAAUGAGUGCUUCAGCUUCUGAUCCCAUUAGUAAGAAAAUACAGUCUUAUGAGCAAUGAUGGAGCUGCAUCUCUUAGGGGCAUUUGAUUCCCAAGAGACCAAAGCGCAAAGAGAAUGUCAAUUAAAAAAAAUCAAAUGUUUCCAUGACUUAGCUAUUUAACUGCUUUAAAAUGAAUGAAUGCUGCUUCAAGUUCUUUCAAAUACCCCACAUCUUGGCAACAACGAAAGGAAUUAACAUGAAGAAAAUUUACAAUCUUUCAUCACAUCGAACAAUGUCCCACAUUUGAAAAGUUCACAGCACAGAUUUCUGGUUCCUGAAAGAAACGAAAGACCUUCUUUGGAUUUGAAUAAACAGAUGGACUUUCUUCUCCUUUUUCUUAUAGUGCCCGAUUUGUGUAAAGGGAGGUGGGAAGAAAACAUCUUAGCUUAAAAGAGUGUCCUAUAAAAUAAAAGGUUUCAUACUUG
rnacentral:lncRNA from 1 species